UUAAGGGAAGUCCAGCCCAAGACAAAAGAUUGAACACUUGCAAGUAUGUCUAAGAUGCCAUGGGCAUCAUUAAUACUAUUAUUUGGUUAUUUAAGGUGUUUGAACACCUGGUCCACAGGGCACCAGGUUUCUACUCUGAACCUAGCCUCCUUCUCAAGGCCUGUCCAUGAACAGAGAGCAUCUUGCUGUCUCUUUAAGCCUGGCACUCAUCCCUUGCCUAGAUUCACAACUCAAGAUCUCUUGCCCCCUGCCACGCAGGAGUCUGUUUCCCAGUGGCCCUAGCUGACAGGAAACAUCCCUUUUGCUGAAACAGCCCACCAUUUCCUUUCCUGAGAUCCUGGACACUAGCCAUCAUUACAAAGAUUAGAGGUCGGCAGAGGGAAGUCUCCAGAUGCACCCCAAACAGAAGCAAAGCAUUUCUACAGCAAAGGAGAAGCCGCACGCACUGUCUUCUGCCUAACCCAAGGCUUGCAGAAAUGCCUGACUCAUCACCGUGCUUUUACAUGCUCUUCAUCACGUGUAGCACAGCAGAGCCUGGCUGAUAACAGCACUGUGACAGCAAUUAGAUAGAUAAUCGGCUGGCUGGACUCCUAGAACUCAUAUCAGACAGUGACAGAAGCCUGCCUGCCCUCCCUACCCAUCAGGAGGACUUUCAACAUAGCAGUCACCCAGACUGGCACAUGUGAUCUCUAUCUACACACCCCAGCAUGUGAGGAGACCAUAUCUCAACUCUCCUUCCCUGAGAUAAAUGUGGAACAGACACCUUAUCUCUCUCUAUUUCACUGCCUCCCUCGGCCCCCCCUUCUGGGAACAGUCCCCCAAGAGGGACAAUCAAAUCAUUUCAACGCUUGUCAGAAUGCACCAACCUCCCUCUGUGCCAUCAGUGCAGAGCGACAGAGCGCUGGGACACAACCUCCUCUGUGAGUUGGUGCCACCCCUCUGCUGCUCAAAGGAGCUGCCUACCACACGACAACCAAAUCACAGCCACCUCCAAGGACAAGGUUUACAGUGGGAUCCGGGCCUCCCUGGGCCGAGAGCUGGUCUCUGAGAACUCAUCGAACUUAACCAGAUGGUGGGACACCUGAGCUCAUGCUACGACCUCAGGGCUCCUCAGAGUUCAGCCAUGGGAGGCUCCCCAUGAACACACAGUCCCGAGCUUCACCUCUGUCUCUGACUCAGCAGGGCCUGAGCAGGCUCUGCUCCCAGCUGGGUUUGGUGCAGCUGGACCUCUAUCCACACUCUGAGCAUCAUCGUAGGGAGCAAGUGGAGUCCUGUGUGUGUGAUGUUUGAUACAGGCACAGCAGUGUCGAGGACCCAAUGCCUUAGACCAGUGGGAGCAGCCAAGCCUUCCCUGGGUGAGGCUCAGGGGGGUGGCAAAGCCUUCCUCUGGUCCACAUGUGGUGUGUACAGAAGACAUCUACCAUCGCUGUCUCCCUCCCAACACUCCCACCCCUGUGUACAGACUGUCCCCCCACAGAGACUGAACCUACAGAGAUCAACUAAAGCUGCCUCCUUGUUCAGCUGCCUGUAUAUGAUAUACAGUGUGAUAUACUACCCAUAUAAUAACCCUGCCUUCUUAAUUAUCUAUAUGCAACAGCCCCACCUCUCUGUUCAACUCUAUAAUAAACAAGCUCAGCUUCCAGGUGCUGCAGUAUCUCCGUCAGGGAGCCCAGACCAUCCGAUCCCAGCUCUUCUGCACUGGAUGUUCUGAGCAGGUGACAGCUCCCACCUAUUAAGGCCUUCCUGUGACACAAGAACUGAUUCCCAGGGGCUCCAACAGAAAGGCACAGAAAGGUUCAACCAUUUUCCCACAGCUCCCAAGCUAGGAGGCGACAGAGUAAGAUUCCAGCCCAGUCCCACUUCUCCGACAUCUGCAACAACCAUGCCUGACCCACAGGUGUGCCCUGGCCCCUCAUGGCCACCCUGGACCUGGACACACUUGCAGUGGAUCCAUAUCCCCAGGUGCCCCCUCUUCCCCAGCCUUCCCUGCUCCAACACAACUCACUGCCAAGAUCGCAGUCUCUUUUUGUUUUCUAAUUUAACAGAGAGUACGUCACCAUUUGCCUGUCUCUGCAGGUACAAUCCAGGGAGAUUGUGUACAAUCAUACGGUUACACUGCUGUCGCCCCGGACCAUCACCAAAACUUUCCCACCUUCCUGAAUUAGCACUACGCUUAAUAAACCACAGCUCCAAAUUGUCCCCUCUAUCCAACGCCUUGGCAACACUCUACUCCUCGGCACUUGGCUACUCUGGGCAUCUUGUAUGAGGGCGUCACCUAGCAUGUGUCCUAUCUGGGACAGGCUGAGUCCACUUAGCUUAAUGUCCUCCAGCUUCACCCAAACUGGAGCAUUGGUUAGAAUCUUCUUCACUUUAAUUAAUCUUCUAAUAUUCCAUUGUUUAUACACACCAUAUUUUGUUAUUACAUUCAUCUAUUAACAGAAACUUAGCCUAUUUUCACCUUUGAUUACUGUGAAUAAUGCUGUUGUAAACAUGGAUGUGAAAAUC